GGGCCCGCACAAGCGGAGGAACAUGUGGUUUAAUUCGAUGAUACGCGAGGAACCUUACCCGGGCUUGAAUUGCUAAUGACGUUAAUUGGAGACAGUUAAUUUCUUUAUGACAUUAGUGAAGGUGCUGCAUGGUUGUCGUCAGCUCGUGCCGUGAGGUGUCGGCUUAAGUGCCAUAACGAGCGCAACCCUGAUCAUUAGUUACUAGCAGGUAAUGCUGAGGACUCUGAUGAGACUGCCGUCGUAAGAUGUGAGGAAGGUUGGGAUGACGUCAAAUCAGCACGGCCCUUACGUCCGGGGCUACACACGUGUUACAAUGGGGGGUACAGAAGGCAGCUACCUGGCGACAGGAUGCUAAUCUCCAAAAUCCUCUCUCAGUUCGGAUCGGAGUCUGCAACCCGACUCUGUGAAGCUGGAUUCGCUAGUAAUCGCGCAUCAGCCAUGGCG
rnacentral:rRNA from 1 species